rnacentral:lncRNA from 1 species
GAGCAGCUUUUUAAAACUGCCUAUGUUCUUUCGAUGAACAUGGUCACUGGAAGGAAAGGGGACUCUGGUCUGUGUCUGGGCAGUGGCAAGGCUGGGGCCGUUCUGACCUGCUCCUCCUGGAGCUGUCUGGCUCUGGGAGUGGCCAUGUGAGUGAACAAGGGCAAAUGUGGAUAGCUGCAAUUUGGGGAGCCAGGACCACUCACUGUGUGGCUGGGCAUGGUAGGGAGGCAUUGUUCACUGAGGCACUUCAGUACCUGCAGCAGCAGCAAGAUGAGAAGAUUCAUUCAGCCUCCAAUCUUGCUGUCCACCCCGGAGGAUUCCUUCAGCUGCUCUGUCCCCUCCCUCCAACUGCCAAAGAGACUCACCCACUGCCAUGCCUUCCAGUCAUCUACCCCACCCAUGCAAGAGUACUUUGGUGCCCUGCAGUCUGAGGGCAGCAGCCCCUGACCUUCCAGCCUCACAAGGAAGCAUUCUGCAGACUUGAUGAGGGCACGUGCAGCUUACCCUUUUCACUAAGAGGAGAAGACUGGAGCCCAGAGAGGCUGAAAUGCUUUCCUGUGGUUACACAGGUCUCAGUGGUAGAGUUGUUUUCUAACUUCAGCAUAUCUGGCACCAAGCACAUAUUCUUCAUUACUAACCUGAGCUGGAAGAACUAGACAACCAGGCUGAGCUUCAUGAAACCAGGCCAGGAUGUGCACCAGCCAAGGAGUCAGCCUUGCCCUCAGCCAGAAACACACCCUACUCGCCACAAGUACACUGAACUGCUUCUGUGUGACCCUCAGUGAAGCCCUUGUGAAUUCCAUCCUCCCAGCAGCCCAGUGCUUCCUGUAGGCCCAAGUGUUUGUGCUGCAGGAUAAUGCCUCUCAGAUGGCCACGUCUCCCUGGCCAAUUUGGCUACAAACAUUUUGAGGUUGGAGCCCUACCUUCUAUUUUCUAUGUUCUCUGACAUCCCUCCCCAACCCCAGCAAGGUCAAAGCCUAUUCAAUAACACUUGCUAGGCCAUUAAAAAUGACCAAAUGACAUCAAGGUGGCCACAUUGGGGCCAGGGAUUUAGCUCAGUGGUUUUGCUGCCUGCUGCACAACCACAAGGACCCGAGUUCGAUCCCCCGUACCAAAAAAAAAAAAAAAGAGUGGCCACAUUGAACAGGCUAUUUUAAAAUUAACUAGAAUGAAAUGCAAAUUAAGGGGAAAUUAUUUGUUAUUGCUGUUUUCCCAUGUGAGAGGCAUAGUUUCAAUCAGAACAUGUAAAACUCCUCAGACAUAUUUGUUCCUACAUUUGUACCUUUACCAGAUGUCUUGCACAAUUAGACAUCUGUCCAAAGACAGAAAAAUUUGCAUUUGGAUGCUUGUAUUAGAGGCAGGAAAUACAACAUAAUAGUUAGGAGUCCCAGUUGGGGAAUUAGAGAGACUUUGAUUCCAAUUCCAUCUCUGUGACGUGCUGGCUGACCAUGGUCAAGACAUUCCUCCUCUCUGAGCCUCAGUUUUCUCCUUUGGAAAUAGUAAUUAAAAGUACUCUUCUUGUUCAUACCUAGUGGGAUGCCUAUUAUCUAAAGACAAAACAAAACAAAAACAAAAAAGUAUUGGCAAGGAUGUGGAGAAAUUGGAACCCUUGUGCGUUGCUGGUUGGGAUGUAAAAUGAUACAACUGCUAUGGAAAACAGUACGGCAGUUCCUCAAAAAAUUAAACACAGAAUUACCAUAUGACCCAGCAAUCCCACUUCUGGGUACAUACCCAAACGAACUGAAAGCAGGAACUCAAGCAGAUAUUUAAAUACUCAUGUUUAUAGCAACCGUAUUCACGCUAGCUAAAUUAUGGAAACGACCAAAAAGUCUACUGAAAAAUGAAUGGAUACACAAAAUAUAGUAUAUGCAUACAAUGACUAUUAUACAGCCUGAAAAGAAAGGAGAUUCUCACAUUUGCUACAACAUAGACAAACCUUGAAGACAUGAGCCAAAUGAAAUAAACCAGUCUCAACGGGUUAAAUGUUGUGUUGCACUUCUAUCAGGUACCUAGAGUAGUCAGAUUCACAGACACAGAAAGUAGAAUGGAAGGAAGUUCUGGAGAUGGAAAGUGGUGACAGUUGCACAAAAAUGUGAAUUUACUUAAUGCCAUUGAACUAUAUACUUUCAAAUGGUUACAUUUUACAGUUGUAUAUGUUUUACCCCAAUAAAAAGUGACUUCUCUAUAGUUUUGUUGGAAGGUUAAAUGGAUUAACAUUGGUAAAGCAACUAACAGUCCCUAUUGGUUUGGGUUACUAAAUUGUAGAUAUCACCUUCAUUGCCUUCAGUCCUCAGACCCAGUGGCUGAAUUCUGACCAGCCCAGGGCCUACAAGAGGACAGAACAAGGAGAAAUGAGAAACCCCAGCCUGAUGAGGAGGGAUUAUAACUAGACAGAAAUGUAGAGAGAAUCCAGGACCCCAGGGAGACACAAAUUCAAAAAAACUUCAAGGCCAAACAAAAGAGGACCUGAAAAGGACAGGAGGGAAAAGAUCUGCCGUGG